rnacentral:rRNA from 1 species
CCUACGGGAGGCAGCAGUGAGGAAUAUUGGUCAAUGGGCGUAAGCCUGAACCAGCCAAGCCGCGUGAGGGAUGAAGGUUCUAGGGAUCGUAAACCCUUUUUAUAAGGGAAAAAAGUGUGGGACGUGUCCUAUUUUGCAUGUACCUUAUGAAUAAGGAACGGCUAACUCCGUGCCAGCAGCCGCGGUAAGACGGAGGAUCCGAGCGUUAUCCGGAUUGAUUGGGGUUAAGGGGUGCGUAGGCGGCCUUGUAAGUCAGCGGGGAAAGUCUGUGGCUCAACCAUAGAAUUGCCGUUGAAACUGGGGGGCUUGAGUGUGUGUGAGGCAGGCGGAAUGCGUGGUGUAGCGGUGAAAUGCUUAGAUAUCACGCGGAACCCCGGUGGCGAAGGCGGCCUGCCAGGCCAUGACUGACGCUGAUGCACGAAAGCGUGGGGAUCAAACAGGAUUAGAUACCCGUGUAGUC